rnacentral:rRNA from 1 species
AGUGAACGCUGGCGGUAGGCCUAACACAUGCAAGCCGAACGGCAGCACAGUAAGAGCUUGCUCUUACGGGUGGCGAGUGGCGGACGGGUGAGGAAUACAUCGGAAUCUACUUUUUCGUGGGGGAUAACGUAGGGAAACUUACGCUAAUACCGCAUACGACCUACGGGUGAAGGCAGGGGAUCUUCGGACCUUGCGCGAUUGAAUGAGCCGAUGUCGGAUUAGCUAGUUGGCGGGGUAAAGGCCCACCAAGGCGACGAUCCGUAGCUGGUCUGAGAGGAUGAUCAGCCACACUGGAACUGAGACACGGUCCAGACUCCGACGGGAGGCAGCAGUGGGGAAUAUUGGACAAUGGGCGCAAGCCUGAUCCAGCCAUACCGCGUGGGUGAAGAAGGCCUUCGGGUUGUAAAGCCCUUUUGUUGGGAAAGAAAAGCAGCAGGUUAAGACCCCGCUGUUCUGACGGUACCCAAAGAAUAAGCACCGGCUAACUUCGU